UGGUGUUGAUAUGGUUUAAGACUC
rnacentral:siRNA from 1 species